AGUGAACGCUGGCGGUAGGCCUAACACAUGCAAGUCGAACGGCAGCACAGUAAGAGCUUGCUCUUACGGGUGGCGAGUGGCGGACGGGUGAGGAAUACAUCGGAAUCUACUUUUUCGUGGGGGAUAACGUAGGGAAACUUACGCUAAUACCGCAUACGACCUACGGGUGAAAGCAGGGGAUCUUCGGACCUUGCGCGAUUGAAUGAGCCGAUGUCGGAUUAGCUAGUUGGCGGGGUAAAGGCCCACCAAGGCGACGAUCCGUAGCUGGUCUGAGAGGAUGAUCAGCCACACUGGAACUGAGACACGGUCCAGACUCCUACGGGAGGCAGCAGUGGGGAAUAUUGGACAGUGGGCGCAGCCUGAUCCAGCCAUACCGCGUGGGUGAAGAAGGCCUUCGGGUUGUAAAGCCCUUUUGUUGGGAAAGAAAAGCAGCAGGUUAAUACCCCGCUGUUCUGACGGUACCCAAAGAAUAAGCACCGGCUAACUUCGUG
rnacentral:rRNA from 1 species